rnacentral:rRNA from 1 species
UGGAACGGCCAUUGAUACUGCAGGACUUGAAUUACUGGGAAGCAACUAGAAUAUGUAGUGUAGCGGUGAAAUGCUUAGAGAUUACAUGGAAUACCGAUUGCGAAGGCAGGUUGCUACCGGUGGAUUGACGCUGAUGGACGAAAGCGUGGGUAGCGAACAGGAUUAGAUACCCUGGUAGUCCACGCCGUAAACGAUGGAUACUAGCUGUUGGGCGCAAGCUCAGUGGCUAAGCGAAAGUGAUAAGUAUCCCACCUGGGGAGUACGAACGCAAGUUUGAAACUCAAAUAAAUUGACGGGA